GCGUUUAUAGCUCAGUUGGUUAGAGCACCACCUUGACAUGGUGGGGGUCGUUGGUUCGAGUCCAAUU
rnacentral:tRNA from 1 species